rnacentral:rRNA from 1 species
UGGCGGACGGGUGAGUAACGCGUGGGUAACCUGCCCUGUACAGGGGGAUAACAGUUAGAAAUGACUGCUAAUACCGCAUAAGACCACAGCACCGCAUGGUGCAGGGGUAAAAACUCCGGUGGUACAGGAUGGACCCGCGUCUGAUUAGCUAGUUGGUGAGGUAACGGCUCACCAAGGCGACGAUCGGUAGCCGGCUUGAGAGAGUGAACGGCCACAUUGGGACUGAGACACGGCCCAA